rnacentral:lncRNA from 1 species
AUGAAAGAAGUGUCCCUCCCUCAUCUUAGAUACUGUCCUGUACAGGAGGAGGUGAAAACAGAUGGACGUUGGCCACACACCAGCAAAAGAAGUUUGCUAAUUUCUGUCACAUGCAUGAGUGCUGCUAUCUUGUUAUGCCAGUGCAUGGAAGCGUAAAGAAUGGAUUCACAUGUUUGUGGAAAAUAGUUGUAGUAAUAGGUAGGGAAACAUGAAAAUGAGUUCCCAGAUUGGUAUUUUAUGUUAGUAAGCGUUGCUAAAGUUAUAGAUGUG